GAUGAACGCUGGCGGCGUGCCUAACACAUGCAAGUCGAGCGAAAAGACGAUGAGCUUUUUCCCUUGCCGUUAGCGGCUGACGGGCGAGUAACACGUGGAUAACCUUCUUCUAUUACUUGGAUAACUUCGGGAAACCGGAGCCAAUACUGGAUCAUAUAUUCAACCGCAUAGAUCAAUAGAUAAUGACGGCUUUCCUGUCACUUAUAGAUGGAUCCGCGUCGCAUUAGCUAGUUGGUAAGGUAACGGCCUACCAAGGCAACGAUGCGUAGCCGACCUGAGAGGAUGAUCAGCCACACUGGAACUGAGACACGGUCCAGACUCCUACGGGAGGCAGCAGUGGGGAAUAUUCGACAAUGGGCGAAAGCCUGACCCAGCCAUGCCGCGUGAGUGAAGAAGGUCUUCGGAUCGUAAAACUCUUUUAUUAGGGAAGAACAGCAGUGUAAGAAACUCUGCACGUCUUGACGGUACCUAAUCAAAAAGCAACGGCUAACUACGUG
rnacentral:rRNA from 1 species